rnacentral:rRNA from 1 species
GAUGAACGCUGGCGGCGUGCCUAAUACAUGCAAGUCGAGCGAACAGACGAGGAGCUUGCUCCUCUGACGUUAGCGGCGGACGGGUGAAUAACACGUGGAUAACCUACCUAUAAGACUGGGAUAACUUCGGGAAACCGGAGCUAAUACCGGAUAAUAUAUUGAACCGCAUGGUUCAAUAGUGAAAGACGGUUUUGCUGUCACUUAUAGAUGGAUCCCCGCCGCAUUAGCUAGUUGGUAAGGUAACGGCUUACCAAGGCAACGAUGCGUAGCCGACCUGAGAGGGUGAUCGCCCACAUGGGAACUGAGACACGGUCCAGGCUCCUGAGGGACGCAGCAGUCGCGAAUCUGCCGCAAUGGGCGAAAGCCUUACGGAGUAACGCGGCGUGAGUGAUGACGGUCUUCGGAUCGUAAAACUCUGUUAUGAGGGAAGAACAAAUGUGUAAGUAACUAUGCACGUCUUGACGGUACCUAAUCAGAAAGCCACGGCUAACUACGUG